rnacentral:rRNA from 1 species
AAACCAACUGGGAUUACCUUAGUAACGGCGAGUGAAGCGGUAAAAGCUCAAAUUUGAAAUCUGGUACUUUCAGUGCCCGAGUUGUAAUUUGUAGAAUUUGUCUUUGAUUAGGUCCUUGUCUAUGUUCCUUGGAACUAGGACGUCAUAGAGGGUGAGAAUCCCGUUUGGCGAGGAUACCUUUUCUCUGUAAGACUUUUUCGAAGAGUCGAGUUGUUUGGGAAUGCAGCUCAAAGUGGGUGGUAAAUUCCAUCUAAAGCUAAAUAUUGGCGAGAGACCGAUAGCGAACAAGUACAGUGAUGGAAAGAUGAAAAGAACUUUGAAAAGAGAGUGAAAAAGUACGUGAAAUUGUUGAAAGGGAAGGGCAUUUGAUCAGACAUGGUGUUUUUUGCAUGCACUCGCCUCUCGUGGGCUUGGGCCUCUCAAAAAUUUCACUGGGCCAACAUCAAUUCUGGCAGUAGGAUAAAUCAUUAAGAAUGUAGCUACCUCGGUAGUGUUAUAGCUUAUUGGAAUACUGCUAGCUGGGAUUGAGGACUGCGCUUCGGCAAGGAUGUUGGCAUAAUGGUUAAAUGCCGCCCG